rnacentral:rRNA from 1 species
CUUGGGUACUGAGCGAGAGUCAUUACACAAAUAUGAAGGCGGGCUGGAACCUCUCGGGGUUACAGCCUUGCUGAAUUAUUCACCCUUGUCUUUUGCGUACUUCUUGUUUCCUUGGUGGGUUCGCCCACCACUAGGACAAACAUAAACCUUUUGUAAUUGCAAUCAGCGUCAGUAACAAAUUAAUAAUUACAACUUUCAACAACGGAUCUCUUGGUUCUGGCAUCGAUGAAGAACGCAGCGAAAUGCGAUAAGUAGUGUGAAUUGCAGAAUUCAGUGAAUCAUCGAAUCUUUGAACGCACAUUGCGCCCUUUGGUAUUCCAAAGGGCAUGCCUGUUCGAGCGUCAUUUGUACCCUCAAGCUUUGCUUGGUGUUGGGCGUCUUGUCUCUAGCUUUGCUGGAGACUCGCCUUAAAGUAAUUGGCAGCCGGCCUACUGGUUUCGGAGCGCAGCACAAGUCGCACUCUCUAUCAGCAAAGGUCUAGCAUCCAUUAAGCCUUUUUUCAACUUUGACCUCUGGAUGAAAAGGUUCACGUAUUAUACAAUUUUUUUAGUUUGG